GUGUGUUCCAGGUAAAUCCGGUUCACUUUAACACUGAGGCGUGACGACGAGGCACUACGGUGCUGAAGCAACAAAUGCCCUGCUUCCAGGAAAAGCCUCUAAGCAUCAGGUAACAUCAAAUCGUACCCCAAACCGACACAGGUGGUCAGGUAGAGAAUACCAAGGCGCUUGAGAGAACUCGGGUGAAGGAACUAGGCAAAAUGGUGCCGUAACUUCGGGAGAAGGCACGCUGACACGUAGGUGAAGUGAUUUACUCAUGGAGCUGAAGUCAGUCGAAGAUACCAGCUGGCUGCAACUGUUUAUUAAAAACACAGCACUGUGCAAACACGAAAGUGGACGUAUACGGUGUGACGCCUGCCCGGUGCCGGAAGGUUAAUUGAUGGGGUCAGCGCAAGCGAAGCUCCUGAUCGAAGCCCCGGUAAACGGCGGCCGUAACUAUAACGGUCCUAAGGUAGCGAAAUUCCUUGUCGGGUAAGUUCCGACCUGCACGAAUGGCGUAAUGAUGGCCAGGCUGUCUCCACCCGAGACUCAGUGAAAUUGAACUCGCUGUGAAGAUGCAGUGUACCCGCGGCAAGACGGAAAGACCCCGUGAACCUUUACUAUAGCUUGACACUGAACAUUGAGCCUUGAUGUGUAGGAUAGGUGGGAGGCUUUGAAGUGUGGACGCCAGUCUGCAUGGAGCCGACCUUGAAAUACCACCCUUUAAUGUUUGAUGUUCUAACGUGGACCCGUUACCCGGGUUGCGGACAGUGUCUGGUGGGUAGUUUGACUGGGGCGGUCUCCUCCUAAAGAGUAACGGAGGAGCACGAAGGUUGGCUAAUCCUGGUCGGACAUCAGGAGGUUAGUGCAAUGGCAUAAGCCAGCUUGACUGCGAGCGUGACGGCGCGAGCAGGUGCGAAAGCAGGUCAUAGUGAUCCGGUGGUUCUGAAUGGAAGGGCCAUCGCUCAACGGAUAAAAGGUACUCCGGGGAUAACAGGCUGAUACCGCCCAAGAGUUCAUAUCGACGGCGGUGUUUGGCACCUCGAUGUCGGCUCAUCACAUCCUGGGGCUGAAGUAGGUCCCAAGGGUAUGGCUGUUCGCCAUUUAAAGUGGUACGCGAGCUGGGUUUAGAACGUCGUGAGACAGUUCGGUCCCUAUCUGCCGUGGGCGCUGGAGAACUGAGGGGGGCUGCUCCUAGUACGAGAGGACCGGAGUGGACGCAUCACUGGUGUUCGGGUUGUCAUGCCAAUGGCACUGCCCGGUAGCUAAAUGCGGAAGAGAUAAGUGCUGAAAGCAUCUAAGCACGAAACUUGCCCCGAGAUGAGUUCUCCCUGAGACUUAAAGUCUCCUGAAGGAACGUU
rnacentral:rRNA from 1 species